rnacentral:rRNA from 1 species
UAGGGAAUCUUCCACAAUGGCGAAAGCUGAUGGAGCAACGCCGCGUGAGUGAAGAAGGGUUUCGGCUCGUAAAACUCUGUUGUUAAAGAAGAACAUAUCUGAGAGUAACUGUUCAGGUAUUGACGGUAUUUAACCAGAAAGCCACGGCUAACUACGUGCCAC